rnacentral:lncRNA from 1 species
AUAACAAAAGCUUGUGACUCUCAGAGAGUCCAACACAGCUGGCUGUGAUUGGCCAUUAAUUAGAAACAACCCCCUGAGACCAAUCCCAGAUCCCCCUGUUGCAUCCCACAGCAGCAGAUAAUCAAUGUUUGCAUUUUGUUCCUGAGGCCUCUCAGCUUCUCAGGAGAUAAAAUCCUGGCAAAAAGGGGUUUUUCAGAAAAUAUCAUGGCUGCACAGAGCCAGCUCCCCCAGGAGCUCCCUGGCAGCUCUGUCCCGAGGGCAGUGAGACAGAAACACAAAAACCUUCCCACCACCAGCUCUGCCAGCACAGACAGGUGACAGGAGAUUGAAUUUUUUUUUACUUCAACUUUCACCUUUCUGCACUGCUGCAGGUCUGCUGGGGAAUUUUCAGCACUAAGUGGGAAUGCACAUUGAGUAUUUUUGAUUUUUGUGUGGUGAGAUCCACAGGAAAGCUUUAAGGGAGCACAGGGCGGCCCUGCUGGCUGUGCCACUCUGCUGCCACCACCUCUGUUUCCUCACAGGUUGUGCCACCACCGUGCUGGUGACUGGAGCUGGCAUCGGAGAGAUGGUGCUGCAGCUGCUGGUGGGCUCGAUUAUCCAUGAUCGGGGCAGCUACAGUUUCCUGGUGUGUGGGAUGAUCUUUGGAUGCUUGGCCUUCACCUUCUACGCCCUGCUGGUGUUUUUCCACAGGAUGUACCCCAAGCCCUGCCCAGGUAAGGGAACCCCAGCCCUGAGCCCAGCUUUGGGAUGGGAGCAGGCUCAGCACAAGCCUCACUCCAGAGGUUCCAGCAAAAUGCAAGGAAAUGUUUAUUUUCCUGCUGCUUCCUCUCUCCUUUUCCUGCUUUGUCUUGCCCACAAAGCCUUGGCAGGCACAGCUCAGGGUUUGCUUUCUUUUCUGCUGGAGAAGCAAGGGAAAAUAGCAGGAAUCACAGACAGCACCAGCUUCCCUGGGCUGUUCCCUGGCUGGAAUCCAGGGAGUCAGCAGGGCUGCCAUCCAAGAGCAGCUCUCAGGCUCUGGGAAAAGCCUCACAGAUUAAGGAUUUUUGGGUUAUUAUCUCAGUCUGGAGCUGCUGCUUGUUUUUAUACGAAAGGAGCAGAGUGGGACUGGCAAAAAGCACGGCCAGGUGUGGCUUGGGCUGUGCUGGGGUCACAGCUCGAGGGCUGGGAAAGGAAUGG